rnacentral:rRNA from 1 species
AGAGUUGAUCAUGGCUCAGGAUGAACGCUAGCGACAGGCUUAACACAUGCAAGUCGAGGGGCAGCAUAAAAGUAGCAAUACUUUGGUGGCGACCGGCGCACGGGUGAGUAACGCGUAUGCAACCUACCUAUCAGAGGGGAAUAACCCGGCGAAAGUCGGACUAAUACCGCAUAAAACAGGGGCACCGCAUGGUGAUAUUUGUUAAAGAAAUUCGCUGAUAGAUGGGCAUGCGUUCCAUUAGGUAGUUGGUGAGGUAACGGCUCACCAAGCCGACGAUGGAUAGGGGAACUGAGAGGUUGGUCCCCCACACUGGUACUGAGACACGGACCAGACUCCUACGGGAGGCAGCAGUGAGGAAUAUUGGUCAAUGGGCGGGAGCCUGAACCAGCCAAGUCGCGUGAAGGAAGAAGGAUCUAUGGUUCGUAAACUUCUUUUGCAGGGGAAUAAAGUGCAGGACGUGUCCUGUUUUGUAUGUACCCUGAGAAUAAGGAUCGGCUAACUCCGUGCCAGCCGCUGC